rnacentral:rRNA from 1 species
UGAAUACGAGACGCUAAGGCGUCGAAGUAGUGUAUGUCAUACUUCCAAGAAAAGCUUGCACUGUCAUAGAUAAAAAACGCCUGUACCAUAACCGACACAGGUGGGUAGGUAGAGUAUACUAAGGGGCGCGAGAUAACUCUCUCUAAGGAACUCGGCAAAAUAACUCCGUAACUUCGGGAGAAGGAGUGCCUUAUUCGUAAGGUUGCAAUAACAAGAUCCAAGCAACUGUUUAUCAAAAACACAGGUCUCCGCUAAGUCGUAAGACGAUGUAUGGGGGCUGACGCCUGCCCAGUGCCAGAAGGUUAAAGAAGUUGGUUAGCAAUUGCGAAGCUGAUAACUGAAGCCCUGGUGAACGGCGGCCGUAACAAUAACGGUCCUAAGGUAGCGAAAUUCCUUGUCGGGUAAGUUCCGACCCGCACGAAAGGCGUAAUGAUUUGGAUACUGUCUCGGAGAGGGGCUCGGUGAAAUAGACUUGUCUGUGAAGAUGCGGAUUACCUGCACCAGGACAGAAAGACCCUAUGAAGCUUUACUGUAACUUGAAAUUGAAAUUCGACUUUAUUCGCGCAGUAUAGGUGGGAGGCGUUGAUUAUAAUCUUGUGGGAUUAUUGGAGCCAUCGGUGAGAUACCACUCUUGUAAUGUUAGAUUUCUAACUUUGAAUCAUUAUCUGGUCAAAGAACAGUUUCAGGCGGGCAGUUUGACUGGGGCGGUCGCCUCCUAAACGGUAACGGAGGCGUACAAAGGUUUCCUCUGAACGGUUAGAAAUCGUAUCUAGAGUGUAAAGGCAUAAGGAAGCUUGACUGUGAGACCUACAAGUCGAGCAGGGACGAAAGUCGGUCUUAGUGAUCUGACGGUACUGAGUGGAAAGGCCGUCACUCAACGGAUAAAAGUUACUCUAGGAUAACAGGCUGAUCUCCCCCAAGAGUUCACAUCGACGGGGAGGUUUGGCACCUGGAUGUCGGCUCAUCGCAUCCUGGGGCGGUAGUACGUCCCAAGGGUUGGGCUGUUCGCCCAUGAAAGCGGUACGCGAGCUGGGUUCAGAACGUCGUGAGACAGUUCGGUCCAUAUCCGGUGUAGGCGUUAGAAUAUUGAGAGGAGCCUUCUUUAGUACGAGAGGACCGAGAAGGACAUACCUCUGGUGUACCAGUUAUCGUGCCAACGGUAAACGCUGGGUAGCUAUGUAUGGAGUGGAUAACCGCUGAAAGCAUCUAAGUGGGAAGCCCACCUCAAGAUAAG